rnacentral:rRNA from 1 species
GUACUANCGACUGCCCNNUUAGCCUCUGCNUAACCGUUGUUUNCUAGAGAUCUCACCCUGGCCGNUAGUUUGUACAGCCUAAUACAUGCAAGUCGAGCGAACAGAGAAGUGAGCUUGCUCCUUUGACGUAGCGGCGGACGGGUGAGUAACACGUGGGCAACCUACCUUAUAGUUGGGAUAACUCCGUGGAAACCGGUGGCUAAUACCGAAUAAUCUAUUUUACUUCAUGGUGAAAUACUGAAAGACGGUUUCGGCUGUCGCUAUAAGAUGGGCCCGCUGGCGCAUUAGCUAGUUGGUGAGGUAACGGCUCACCAANGCGACGAUGCGUAGCCGACCUGAGAGGGUAGAUCGGCCACACUGGGACUGAGACACGGCCCAGACUCCUACGGGAGGCAGCAGUAGGGAAUCUUCCACAAUGUGCGAAAGCCUGAUGGAGCAACGCCGCGUGAGUGAAGAAGGUUUACGGAUCGUAAAACUCUGUUUGUAAGUGGAAGAACAAGUACAGUAGUAACUGGCUGUACCUUGACGGUACCUUAUUAGAAAGCCACGGCUAACUACGUGCCAGCAGCCGCGGUAAUACGUAGAGUGGCAAGCGUUGUCCGGAAUUAUUGGGCGUAAAGCGCGCGCAGGCGGUCUUUAAGUCUGAUGUUGAAAGCCCCACCGGUCCAACGUGGGNAGGUCCUUUGGAAACCUGGGGGACUUAGUNGCCGAAGACGAACGUUGGAUUUCCAGUGUACCNGGGGUGACAAAUUGCCGUUUAAAACAGAAUUUUUUGGNNNCGGCACCCCCCCANUGGGCGAAAAANCGAACUUUCCUGGGNCUNGNAACUUAACGCCUAUUAAGGGCCCGAGAAACGCGGGGUGGNUCCACCCCGANUUAUAUAAUCCCNUCGUUGAUAUCACUCGCCCGUAUCAAAGAUAUUUCGACACAUAUAUUUAGGGUGUANUCCCCCCUAUAUAGAGAANACGAGUANACACACCCCGCGNGGUAGUUCAGCAUAACACAGUAUAAUUNNCGCCGCGCAGCUGGNGUANUUAUAGGAGACAAAGUUUUACGCCGUAUAGUUCCGUCUGUGU